GGGAACAAAGCUGAAGCCCGGGGAGGCGUGUGGGAGCACCCCCACCCCUGCCCCAGGACGGUGGCUCUGGGGCACCCAGAAAGUUCCCAGGGCAAACUUGCCCUCGCUCUCACUUCCCAAGUCACAGAGGAUACGUGGGAAGCUCUUCACAGCAUCUGCCUCGGGUUCUGACGUGAAUUCUGCUAUUAUCGAGAGAAGAGAACCGAGUCAGAAACUCGGAGGCCCUGCCGGAGUCUAGCCUGGGCCGGUUUGGAAGUGAACCCUAGAAUUUUCCAUUCUUAAGGAUCAGCUCCCAGAAGAAUCCACCAAGACUCCUGAGAUCUCCUGGGGUCCCAAGAGAGAGGGCUGAGGAGGGACCCAGAAUCCUUGGGAAGUCAAUCAUUCUGAGUCCCCAGGACCCAGAAGCCUAUAGGAAAGUGAGCUCCACCCUCUGGGCAACCCACAAGCUGGAAUGAAGAUGCUCAAGGCUCUGAAAGAUCCCAUCAUCCUCAUAAAAACAUGAAAGCCACUGGGCCCAAGGCCGGGGGCUCACUCCCCAGGCCAGGCCAGGCCUGGAGUCUCCAGCAGAAUGCUGCCCACAGGGGCCCAGUUGCUGAAGGCAGCUCCGCCCCUGCAGAGCCAGUCAUCCAAUCAAGACAGGUGGCAGGGGGUGAUGUCACGGGCUGUGAGCCAGUCAGAGGAGAGGCCUGGGGAGGUCUGCCUUAUAUAUAUCCUAUGUGUACUUUAUGAUGUAUAUCCAAGUACUCUGUUGACUGGGACUUAGAUAAAUAUUACACGUAUGGUCAUAUACACAGAGUACACCUAUUUAGAGUAGCUGUUCUAAUGGCUCAUGACUGUGAUCUGCGUUUUUCUGAUGAUUCAUCUUACCAAGUACAUUUUCUUGUAUUUGUUAGCCAUUUGUAUCUUCUUUGGAGAAAUCUCUCUCUCUCUCUCUCUCUCUCUCAUCCUCUCAUCUACUUACCUACCUACCAACACA